rnacentral:tRNA from 1 species
UUUUUUAUAGUUAAAAUAAACACAGUGCUGUGUAAAGUCAAAUGUAGGUAUUUUACCUUCAAAAG